rnacentral:lncRNA from 1 species
GUAUUUACGAAUAACACAGACGAAUAUAAGCAGUUUUUGACUUAGUAUGGAGCAGGAAGAGUUGAGCCAACUCGUAAAUAUUUUAUUGCUCCUGUCUGUAAAUAUUUGGACAGAUUUCCAAAUCAAUGAAUUGGUAGAGGGGCCCGUCUUAUGGCCAAUGCAGUCACUGGAUUUGAAUCCAUUUGAUUUUUUUACUUUGAGGGCACCCAAAGAGUCUUAUUUAUGUCGCUAUAGUUACAAAAUCAGAGGGAUUGGUUGGAUGUAUUAAUGCUGCUAGUACAAUAAUCCAGACCGUGCUGGGAAUUUUCAAGUGAGUAUGCCAAAACAUGUAGCAGCAUUGCUAUGUUUGCAACAAAGUGAAUUGCACUCAUUCUGAGCAGCUACUGUAACCUCAUCAUUUCCACUCCAUUGCAGUUCUGCAGUGACAAUUCUGGAAAUAACAAAUAAUAACUUAAAAUUGAGAGAUAUUUAUGGGGAGAAGCUUAUCCCCCAACUUUGAUGCUCUGUAACAAUCAUUUUGCAUUUCCAGUCAUGAGUUCAUUACUCCGAAUUGCUUGUCUACAUGCCUCCUAUUGCCUCUGCAAGUUUG